CAAGCAAGAAUAUAUUUAUAUUCAAGCUCAUUUUCUACGUUUAUGUUUUGUGCAGUUGAUAUCUCUUUAUGUAUAUGUUUGCUGUAGAACAUCAGGUUUCAUUUCUAAACCUUGUCUUGAGUGCUGGCCAUAAGCCUACUACAAACUUCAAACCAUUUCUCUACAUAAAACAGCAUGCUUUUUUAGAACAGAGAGAAAGAAAGACUAUAACAUUACACUAGUCAGCAGGUGGCUUGCAUUAUUAGUCAACUCUAGCUCCAGCAGAGCUGGAAAACACAGCUGUCCUGCAUGUACAUGCCAUGAAAGCUUGCUUUAAUCAGGGACCAUAGUACUUGUGUUCAGCUCUGUUUUCUCUGUGGCGUUUUUCUCUUUGACACUGAUUGUGAAACCUUAAGUUAUAGAAAAGCUUUGUAAUCUCAAACCAAUAAUUAUCAAUGUUCAAGCACUUUUUCAUAGAACAUGCAUUAGAUAGUUGGAUUUUUCUGUGUUCUGUUAAAUUGUGUGUGUUUAUGUGAGAUAGCACUAAUCAGAAACUAUUUUUUCCCCUUAGAAAGUUGUGACUUUCUAAAAUGAGUGGAAAAAAUGGAAAUAGUCAUUAGAAAUUAUACUUACAAAUAUCUUUACUGUUCAAUGUGCAAAUCCUUAGUCUGGGUUUAUUUAAAAAAAAAAGUUUAAUUCGAAGAGCAAUAAUACAUGUUAUUUGUCACAAAUGCAGUAUGAACUUAAUGCAGAUGAAUCUGAAUUGUUCAUUUAGUCAGUUAUAAAUGUUAUUUAAAAAUAUACAGCUGUGAAAUGAUGGAAAUCAUUCCAAUUAUAAUCAUGAGGCUGUCAGCUCUGUAAUUCCAGACAGGUUCAUCACAGCGCACAGCCUGUCUUGUGGAAGAGGAAUUGUAGCAGUUUAUAAGUACGAAGUGGCAGAAGAAAAAAACAUUUUGCUUUUUUAGUUGGGUAUUAUGUAUAGGAGCAGAAUAUAUAUAGAUAGCACCUGCUCAAGCAAUUUUGUGAGAUUUGAAAAAGAUAACAAUUUCCUUAGGUUUUUUUUUUUUAUGUCUAGAUUUGUUUGCUCAUUUAUUAAAUAAAUUUUGUGUUUUAUUGCUGUAUGAGGGCUGCUACAAAAGUAACGUACUGACUUUAUGUAAGUUGCAUGACUGGAGGUUCUGGUUUGAUACUGGGAAAAAUUUCCUCUCAGAAAAAGGUGUGAGGCAUUGGAACAGGCUGUCCACGGAGGUGGAGGAGUUAAUGUCCCUGGAGUUGCUCAAGAAAAAGCAGUGCAGGUGAAGAUCUGUAAUGGCCCAGUGCGACUGUACUUGCUUCUGACUAGAACUGCUUUGCCCCCAUGCUGCUAAUGCCCAUGCUGAGGUGUAACAAGGUGAGUAGUAACUUAAUUCAAGUUGCAGCAUAAAUGUUCGUGUACUUUGGCAUUCCUUUUAUCUGCAUUUCAGUGCUUUGAUCAUCAGCUGAGUUUAGCAAUUACACACUGGUAACCAAUGGUGUAAAAGUUAGCUAUUAUUGCAUGCUCAAGAAACACAAUCCUAUGGAUUGAAAACAUGCAUACUAUUUAUAGUACUGUACAGACACCAUCAGCCCUAUGCGAAGGAAAAAAAACCAACACAAAAAAACCAACAAGUCAACCAAAAAAUUCAUUCAUUCCUUCUAUGACUUGCCUUGUUGCUGGUCUUGAUGGAACAAUACUUCUGCACAGCUAAGCGAUUCAGACCUUAUUUGGUUGGGGCUUAGUUGAAUGCCAACUGAAUGAAAAGAUGCAUUCAUGUUAGUCUCUACUCUGCUUAUGAUGAAAUAGAUUUUUUUUUUUUUUUCCCCCACUAAAUAUGAAGUUAUUUAGUAAAGAACUAUAAGAGUGAGCUUACUCUAGAAAUGCAGUGCCUUACUAUACAUUACAAGGAGAAUUUUAAACCCCAAGUAAACAAAUACUAAAUUGCAGUGACUUUCUCCUUGAGUUAAUACUUCGUUAACACAUAGUUAAAGGUGCCAGUGAAAGCCUAUUUGAAUAUAUGUGAAAGUUAUUACUACAUUUAUACAAAUGUAAUGUUCUAUUAUAGAAAUAUUUUAUUGAAUGCAAACAUAGUAUUUCUUUCUGCAAAUAAAAUGCAUGAUGACAUACAUGAAAGAAGUAAGCGAAAAUGAAAAUAAGGCACAACUGAAAAAUAACUUUUCACAUUUUUUUUCUAUUUCAUCCUUAGUGGAACAAUAAAUACAAUGGCAUAGCUUCUAUUAAUCUUAUUUACACAGUACAAUUCUUGAAUGUUACCGGGUUUCCAGCCCAAAUGUUUCAUGAUGUUAACAGGAGUAUGUGUUGCAGCAUUUCUACAGCCAAGCACUCCAGGAGAUCAUCACAAAGAAAAAAAAAAUACAUAGAAUAGCUGUUAACAUUUAAAUAUCAUAAUAAACUGAGGGAACCCUGCAGCAUAGAAUCAAUUUGUGGCAUUUAUUAAUUGAUGACAGUAGCAUUAAAAAUAGACAUUCCCUUUAAUACAUAACUAACAUGCUAGUUACUUAUACUAAGUGUAAGACAAGCAUUUCUGUAGCCCCCUUCAAAGUGGUACAGUAAAUGUUCACUAACAAAAGAGCAAAGAACAAUAAUAAGUAACUCUCUGCCUGUUGAAAAGAACCUCACAGCCCCCCAGAAGUUUUCUUACAUUCCAGACAAUACAGGCAAUGAGUACAAUAUUCCAUAAAGUAGAAAAUAAUCCACAGGACGAAAUCUCAGCGUAAAGAUUUGAUUUUAAUUUAUAGUGACAAAAAAAAAAAAA